CGGACUGCAGUCUGCAACUCGACUGCACGAAGCUGGAAUCGCUAGUAGUCGCAGAUCAGAAUGCUGCGGUGAAUACGUUCCCGGGUCUUGUACACACCGCCCGUCACACCAUGGGAGUCAGUAACGCCCGAAGUCAGUGACCUAACCGCAAGGGAGGAGCUGCCGAAGGCGGGACCGAUAACUGGGGUGAAGUCGUAACAAGGUAGC
rnacentral:rRNA from 1 species